rnacentral:rRNA from 1 species
UACGUACCGUACGAACGUUAUUCGGAAUUACUGGGCUUAAAGGGUUUGUAGGCGGCCACGUAAGUCAGGUGUGAAAGCCCUCGGCUCAACCGAGGAACUGCGCUUCAUACUGCAUGGCUUGAGGGAGACAGGGGUAAGCGGAACUGAUGGUGGAGCGGUGAAAUGCGUUGAUAUCAUCAGGAACCCCGGUGGCGAAAGCGGCUUACUGGGUCUCUUCUGACGCUGAGGUACGAAAGCUAGGGGAGCGAACGGG